CCUACGGGGGGCAGCAGUGGGGAAUUUUGGACAAUGGGCGCAAGCCUGAUCCAGCAAUGCCGCGUGCAGGAUGAAGGCCUUCGGGUUGUAAACUGCUUUUGUACGGAACGAAACGGCGAGCUCUAAUAAAGCUCGCUAAUGACGGUACCGUAAGAAUAAGCACCGGCUAACUACGUGCCAGCAGCCGCGGUAAUACGUAGGGUGCAAGCGUUAAUCGGAAUUACUGGGCGUAAAGCGUGCGCAGGCGGUGAUGUAAGACAGAUGUGAAAUCCCCGGGCUCAACCUGGGACCUGCAUUUGUGACUGCAUCGCUAGAGUACGGUAGAGGGGGAUGGAAUUCCGCGUGUAGCAGUGAAAUGCGUAGAUAUGCGGAGGAACACCGAUGGCGAAGGCAAUCCCCUGGACCUGUACUGACGCUCAUGCACGAAAGCGUGGGGAGCAAACAGGAUUAGAUACCCCGGUAGUC
rnacentral:rRNA from 1 species